UCCGGAAUUAUUGGGCGUAAGCGCGCGCAGGCGGUUUCUUAAGUCUGAUGUGAAAGCCCACGGCUCAACCGUGGAGGGUCAUUGGAAACUGGGGAACUUGAGUGCCGAAGAGAAAAGCGGAAUUCCACGUGUAGCGGUGAAAUGCGUAGAGAUGUGGAGGAACACCAGUGGCGAAGGCGGCUUUUUGGUCUGUAACUGACGCUGAGGCGCGAAAGCGUGGGGAGCAAACAGGAUUAGAUACCCUGGUAGUCCACGCCGUAAACGAUGAGUGCUAAGUGUUAGAGGGUUUCCGCCCUUUAGUGCUGCAGCUAACGCAUUAAGCACUCCGCCUGGGGAGUACGGUCGCAAGACUGAAACUCAAAGGAAUUGACGGGGGCCCGCACAAGCGGUGGAGCAUGUGGUUUAAUUCGAAUCAACGCGAAGAACCUUACCAGGUCUUGAGGUGGUGUGACAACUCUAGAGAUAGAGCGUUCCCCUUCGGGGGACAGAGUGACAGGUGGUGCAUGGUUGUCGUCAGCUCGUGUCGUGAG
rnacentral:rRNA from 2 species